ACUACACAAACACACUGCAUUAUAUACACACACUACACAAACACACUGUGUAUAUAAUGCAGUGUGUAUAUAAUGC